rnacentral:rRNA from 1 species
GUGCAGCAGUCGCGAAUUUUUCUCAAUGGGGGCAACCCUGAAGGAGCGACGCCGCGUGGAGGAUGAAGGCUUUCGGGUUGUAAACUCCUGUCAUUUGGGAACAAGUUGGACGCAGUAACUACGCGUCCAUUGAUAGUACCAGAAGAGGAAGGGACGGCUAACUCUGUGCCAGCAGCCGCGGUAAUACAGAGGUCCCAAGCGUUGUUCGGAUUCAUUGGGCGUAAAGGGUGCGUAGGUGGCGCCGUAAGUGGGGUGUGAAAUUUCGGAGCUUAACUCCGAAACUGCAUUCCAUACUGCGGUGCUUGAGGACUGGAGAGGAGACUGGAAUUCAUGGUGUAGCAGUGAAAUGCGUAGAGAUCAUGAGGAAGACCAGUGGCGAAGGCGGGUCUCUGGACAGUUCCUGACACUGAGGCACGAAGGCCAGGGGAGCAAACGGGAUUAGAUACCCGCGUAGU